UUAGUCCUGGGGUGUGCGACCCCCUAUAUUUCCUGAACCUACAUAAGACUGAAAGGGAUGCCAACAAGACGUUUUCAAUGCCAGGCCUCGAGCAACUACCGGAGGAAGGCAGCGACACGGAUGAGGCUGCCCACCUGGCAAUAGCUAGGCGUCAGCAAUUUAGGAACGGCAUCUUGGGAUAUUA
rnacentral:other from 1 species